CGGACAGGGAGGCCUGGGGUGCUGCGGUCCACGGGGAUCGCAAAGAGUAUGACACGACUGAGCAAGUGCACCGAACUGAAGUGAUCCUGUGACGGGUCCUCGAGUGUCCUCUCUGUUUGAAGAGUACCGUCUGCACGAGGUAUUGCAGUGGUUAUUGUGUGGCUGUUACAUAACGCUUGUCACAUUCUCAGUGUAUGGGGCAGCCCUUGUCUGGCCAAACGUGGGAAUCGCGCACUCUUGAUCACGCGGCUGUUGGUGUCCUGUUGCCAGUGACCGCAGCAAGUUAAGUAAGCCCCAUUCGGCACACACAGGUAACAAUUAUGAAAUAAUUUGCAAGAAACCCGAGCGUACAUGUUGACCCGGCAGCGUGGUUCGCGUCGCCAUAAAAGCAAAGGGCAGCUUGCCCACCACCGUGGUUCAUUUAACCUCGCCGAGAAGCAAGCAUACCUACAUACUGAAAUGACGUGGCAGUCACAGGCUGCUUGUUGAAAUUCACCAUAACGACCCUUUCCGGCUAUCGCACGGAGGCAAUGACUUUAAUUUCUCUUCUGCUUGAAGGAUGAGAGCCAUCUCCCUUGGAACAGAAAACUCAAGUACAAAAACUGUUCACAGAUGUCUUUCUCUUAGGUUGAUUCUUUCUGGAGUAGUUUUGAGCCUCUCCUCUCUCUGCCUCUCUUUCCUUCUCAGUCUUGACGUAAUUAAUUGCUCAAAGGUCAGUCCGCUGAUGCCUUCCAGAGUUACCAAAGGCCUUUGAAGCGAUCCUUGGGAACUCGCUUCAGCGUGGGGGUUCAAAGCGCUGACUCUGAGCAGAGGUCAGUGUGGGGGCCUGGCGGGGGUGGGAGUCUCAGCGAUCUUGGACGUUCCACCAGUUGACACAUGUACUGUCUUGCCUGAUCUGUGUGUGUUGGGGCCAGAAACGUCCCGCUGUCCGUGUUCGGGGGUGUGGAAGACUUUGCUUUCGAUUGUACCUCACUUUCCAGCACUGUGUCGUGGCGGUGCCUGGUGGGCUACAGUCAGUCCCUGGGGGUCACAAAGAGUUGGACGCAACUGAGUGACUAACACACACUGACCUUUUUUGACUAUGCAGCCUGUUGGGCUGCAGUCCAUGGGGUUGCAAAACAGUUGGACAUGACUGAGCGGCGAAAUACCAUAAACCGGCUGCCUUAGAAGACGACAGAAACAUCUUUUUCUUGGUCCUAGAGGCCGGAGGGGGCCACGUGUUGCAGGCGCAUUUGUUGGCUGGUGAAAGCCUGCUUGCUGGUUCGUAACACGAUCAUUUCCUUGCUAUGCUGUCGCUGCUGGAAGGGCUGACAGAGCUCAGUGGGAUCUCAUUCAUAAGGGCACGCCCGCCCUUCUUGAGGACUGCACUCUCAAGUCCCGUCACCUCCCACAGGCCCCACCUCCCAAGUUUAAUCAUCACCUUGGGGGGCGGAUUUACAUGCACCACGGGUUUUGGGGGAAACACAACCAUUCAGUUGUGGCAGGGAUCAAAUAGGCAAGAGACGUCUUUGAUGAUGGC
ensembl:lncRNA